rnacentral:rRNA from 1 species
GACAGAGGGUGCAAACGUUGUUCGGAAUUACUGGGCGUAAAGCGCGUGUAGGCGGCCCAGCAAGUCGGAUGUGAAAGCCCUGGGCUUAACCUAGGAAGUGCAUUCGAAACUGCUGGGCUUGAGUUCUGGAGAGGAAGGCGGAAUUCUCGGUGUAGAGGUGAAAUUCGUAGAUAUCUGGAGGAACACCGGUGGCGAAGGCGGCAUCCUGGACCGACACUGACGCUGAGGAGCGAAAGCCAGGGGAGCAAACGGG